ACCUGGCUAGCUCAAUUGGAAGAGCGUGCAACUCUUGAUCUCCAGGUUGUGAGUUCAAGCCCCAUGCUGGGUG
rnacentral:tRNA from 1 species